UGGGGAAUAUUGCACAAUGGAGGGAACUCUGAUGCAGCAACGCCGCGUGCGGGAUGACGGCCUUCGGGUUGUAAACCGCUUUCAGCCAUGACGAAGCUUUUGUGACGGUAGUGGUAGAAGAAGCACCGGCUAACUACGUGCCAGCAGCCGCGGUGAUACGUAGGGUGCGGGCGUUGUCCGGAAUUAUGGGGCGUAAAGAGCUUGUAGGCGGUUUGUCGCGUCGAUAGUGUAAACACGCAGCUUAACUGUGUGCCUGCUGUCGAUACGGGCUGACUAGAGGAGGGGAGGGGAGAAUGGAAUUCCCGGUGGAGCGGUGGAAUGCGCAGAUAUCGGGAGGAACACCAGUGGCGAAGGCGGUUCUCUGGACCUUUCCUGACGCUGAGAAGCGAAAGCGUGGGUAGCAAACAGG
rnacentral:rRNA from 1 species